UACACAUCUUGUUGAUAUUUACGUAAAAGUUGAGGAAGUAGAAAACUUGAAAUAUCCAUUCAAAAAGAAAAUAAAGGCGGAAGGUUUCAUUCAAUUGACGAGAAAUUUGUCUCUUAAAAAAUAAUGAAUCCUAAGCUAUUCAAAUAAACAUGCAUAUGUUCAUCUUUACCAGAAGAAAAAGAACAAUCACACGAGCAGAAUACUUCCUAUAAUUGUUUGUGAGAUUGAUAAAAACAGACGCAAUACUAUUGAUAGCUUCUAAAUUCGUUGUUAAGGGGAAUCAUUACACUUAUAGAUUCUGGUGUUUUAAGAGAAAAGUAGGUGGUAGUUUUUUACAACAUAAGUUACGCACUUUAAUAAAAAAUGAUUAAACGCCUAUGCUUUAUUUUAAAAUGUUUAAAAAAAAAAAAAAAAAAAAAAGGAAAAUUGCAUAUACAUAUUAUUAUUAAAUCAAUAUUAUUGAAUGAAGAAAGGACUGUACGACUUGCUUGUAAAUCCGUGAAAUUCAGUUACGUUGAAUUACUGGUUUCCAAUGCUUUAUGCUAGAAUGAUUCGGUUUUUUAAGAAUUAUUUACAUAAUAUUUUAAUAAUAAAUACAUACAUAUAUAUCUGUUUACGCGUUCACUGCCUGCUCUUAUCGGAACAUAGGAAAACUUAU